UACGUAGGGCGCAAGCGUUGUCCGGAAUUAUUGGGCGUAAAGAGCUCGUAGGCGGUCUGUUGCGUCCGCUGUGAAAACUCGGGGCUUAACCCCGAGCCUGCAGUGGAUACGGGCAGACUAGAGGUAGGUAGGGGAGAAUGGAAUUCCUGGUGUAGCGGUGGAAUGCGCAGAUAUCAGGAGGAAUACCCAUAGCGAAGGCAGCUCGCUGGGACGGUACUGACGCUGAGGCGCGAAAGCGUGGGGAGCGAACAGG
rnacentral:rRNA from 1 species